UACGGAGGGUGCGAGCGUUAAUCGGAAUUACUGGGCGUAAAGCGCACGCAGGCGGGUUUUUAAGUGAGAUGUGAAAUCCCCGGGCUUAACCUGGGAACAGCAUUUGAUACUGGCAAGCUAGAGUAGUGUAGAGGGGGGUAGAAUUCCAGGUGUAGCGGUGAAAUGCGUAGAGAUGUGGAGGAAUACCGAUGGCGAAGGCGGCCCCCUGGAAGAAUACUGACGCUCAGGUGCGAAAGCGUGGGGAGCAAACAGG
rnacentral:rRNA from 1 species